AUUCCUAGUAUUCCCAUAUUUCGCGUUCCGCUUCUCUAACAACUCUAUAGUAAUUGCUAUGCAAAUAUUGAGAGUUGAGAUAUUCUGCACCAAAGUCCAUCCAUCAUCACUCAGAUAGGUUAUUGUUCAUAAUAAUUCAUCUACUCAUUUCAAUGCCAGAUUUUAUGCUGAUGCAUCUUUAUUAGGUAUACCUACCAGUUCGCCUGAAUUCCAUAUGGCUAUUGGAAGUCCGAAUCAUAAUAAAGAAAUUAAACCGGGCUAUUGUUAUUUCAUUUGUUUAAUGAUUCAUUAACCUACAAGCGUUGGAAUUUGGACAGUAGCUCUGCCGCUUCGGUUUCUCUAAUUGCAUAUAAAAUGGAACAAAAUCCAAUGUAUACCCGAAAAUUGAUAUCGAGAACUCGUUUGGUUUGUAAAUAGCCAAACAUUACGACAGAUUUCCUUGAGCGUAAGAAAUUCAGUUGAUUUGUCCAUUAGCUGUGAGAUUGUAGUGAUCGAAGUUCGUUGAAUUUUUUUUCCACAUAGAUUGUCACACUCGUCACAAUGAAUGUGUCCGUUGCCGACUGCCUUGCCAUUGCUGUCUUCGCUAUUAUGGUUAUCGCAGCUAAUGUUAUGAGCUAAAAGGAUUGUUUCACCACAUUCCACUGGAUGAUGUCUACUGAAAUGAGUUCUUUUAUCCCAAUAUCUAUAAUACAAAUUAUAUAGAUUCUAGAAACUGUUAUUUUAUAAGAAUGAUUUUGUCCAUAAAUUUAAAAUGAAGAAUUUUG